UUGGGUUUCUGCCAGCCUCCGCCCCAGCCCAGCCCUCUAGAGUUCUCUGCACUGCCCAACCCCUGCCGCAUUCCUCACCCAGUGCAGCCGCCAGGGCCUGGGCUGAGAGGAAGAUGAUUUGGACAAACACUUCUCCCCCUGUAAUUCACAUAAACUGCCCUGCAGGGUCAGGGUAAGGGCGGUGUGGACCUCAAAAAGUUGAUGGAGCCAGGGAGACAGUUCAGCAGCACAGCGCCUGCCUAGCAAGUACAAGGAAACUCAAGAAGAAAUCAUCUCUGGUCAGCUCCACUGGAAUCUGUAUUUAGUCAGUUGAUCAUCAUUUUCUCACCAGAGGGUCAUCCAGGACUAUUCUGUGGUCAGCAAUCAAGAAAUGCAUCUCUUGAAGGAUUCCGUGUGCUCCUUAAUGCCAGUGAAAGCAUGAACAACAGGACUGGAAGAUGAUCAUACUGAUUUGUUGGAUUAAUUCAUAAAUGACUCGUCAAGACAAGAAGGAUGAUUUGACUGUAUAGAAGUGAUGACCGGAUUUAAAGGAAUUGUGAUAAUUCCCUGGUUUUGAUAUUGCCUUAUAGUCAGGUCUCAAAAUUAUUGCCUUGUCUCCUGAAGAAAGAAAGCACUUCCUCAGCAAGCACAACUGUAAUACCCAUGAGCAGGCGCCGGAAGACCACUUUGACAGCUUCAGGCAGUCCAGGUGUUGUUGCCAAAGACCUGGACACUCAGUGACCCAGAGUUGGUUUCUUCACCUUCACCAACCCAGAGCAGACCCCAGGUCAGUGUCUCUGCAGGGCUCAAUCGGGCCUGCUGCUCCAGGUCUCACAAGACUGAAGUCUCAAGCAACCAGUGCAGUUCUCAUCUGAGGUCAGGAUCUUCUCCCAAGCUCACUGGCUGUUGACAGAACUCAUUUCUCUGUGUGGCUAAUUUGCCAGCCAGCGGUCCCUGCCAGCUCCUGGGGCCUGCCCUUCACGCCUAGAUCCUGUCAGGUCUUUGCCAUUUUUCUCACUUCAUCCUCAAAGUCAGCCACAGGCAAUCACUCUCAGGUUGAAUCUCCAGGAAGAGUUCAGUCCCUGCACUGGGGCUCCCAUUCAUUCCCACCUGGUGUCAUCCGUGAGAAGAUAGAAAACUUGCUUUGGCCAAGUGCAGCUGUUGGGUGGAUGUUGAGAUCAGUCAGCCCGGAGGAAAGAGAACGUGAGCUUGGUCUGCUCUCCCGGCCACCCAGAGCUGCAGGACUUCUUCCUUACUCCUUGCUGGUGCCGCAGGGAGACAGAAGCACCUGCCUGGAAUGUCUCCUGAUGCUGGGGAUAAAUGUGCCUGCGUCACAGUCUUCCUCUAGGUGACAGAAGACAUGGGCCUGAGUGUAGCUUUGUGGGAGACGGGGAGCAGGGCUCCAUAACUGCAAUAGGGAUGGCACGUUCCCACCUGCAGCUCCUUUAUUCUCUCCUCCUCUUUCAUUUUAUCUAUCAGUGUUAUAUCUUUGGAAUAGAGGGGUUUAUCAGAUGUUAAAGUUCCAGACUCAUUUUGAUCAGAAAUUCUCUAUAUUCAUCCCCAUAUAAUUUGUUCCAGGAGUGAGGAUUUGUCUUUUAUUGUGAUAUUAUUUCCAUUAGGGUUUUUUCCCCUUAUGGGAUUCCUGUGUGCCCUUGGUUACAAAAAUAUACAGGCCAGCAGCUCUCUUUGUUGUUUAAAAGUCCCCAGGUAUUUCAUGGUCCUAGACCAGUUAUUAAGUCAAUUUCUUACUUUGGUAUCAUUGAAGGAGUAGGAAGCCAAGUUCUUAUAAUGUCCUUUCCUUAACAGGACAAAUAUUUUCAUUACUGAGUAAGACAGAGUGAAACCACAGAAAUGUUUAAAACUUUGCUUACAUAUCUAUGAUGUGAGGAAUUUCUCUGAAUUAGAUAAGAGUUUUCAAAUAUUGGAAGAAUAUUUUCAUGUAUUUUGUACUAUUCACAAUGUAGUCCCUUUUACAUUUAAUUUAUAAACUUCAGACAGUGAGUCUACCACCCAUUUUGUGAAUAAAACUUUUAGAACACAGGUAUGUUCUAUUUACAUAUUGUACAUGGCAGCUGUCGUUCAACAAUAGCAGAAAUAAAUAGUUGUGACAGACCGCA